GAUGAACGCUGGCGGCGUGCCUAAUACAUGCAAGUCGAGCGAACGGACGAGAAGCUUGCUUUUCUGAUGUUAGCGGCGGACGGGUGAGUAACACGUGGAUAACCUACCUAUAAGACUGGGAUAACUUCGGGAAACCGGAGCUAAUACCGGAUAAUAUUUUGAACCGCCUGGUUCAAAAGUGAAAGACGGUCUUGCUGUCACUUAUAGAUGGAUCCGUGCUGCAUUAGCUAGUUGGUAAGGUAACGGCUUACCAAGGCAACGAUGCAUAGCCGACCUGAGAGGGUGAUCGGCCACACUGGAACUGAGACACGGUCCAGACUCCUACGGGAGGCAGCAGUAGGGAAUCUUCCGCAAUGGGCGAAAGCCUGACGGAGCAACGCCGCGUGAGUGAUGAAGGUCUUCGGAUCGUAAAACUCUGUUAUUAGGGAAAAACAUAUGUGUAAGUAACUGUGCACAUCUUGACGGUACCUAAUCAGAAAGCCACGGCUAACUACGUG
rnacentral:rRNA from 1 species